rnacentral:piRNA from 1 species
ACACUGGAAAUAAGAUGAUGGUGUG